rnacentral:lncRNA from 1 species
UUGAUGCUGUGCAUGAUACUAUCCAAAGUAUACUUGUUUAACAAAAACUUUGAAAAUUUUGGGAUCUGCGCCCAUUUUUUGUUGCAAUGGCAACAAAAAUCUCUUAUUUUUGAAAAUCUCAAAAAAUGUGAAUUUCACUACUUUUCCAAGAAAACCUAUAUUUUGUCACAAAAUAAUAGUAUAAAAAUAAGAAGUGUGCCUAAUAAUAAUUUAAAUAUAGAUAUCACUGAAAGCUCUUAAAAAAUGUGAUAUAUUACAAAUUUCUGUUGCCGUGACAACAAAAAACUCAUAUUUGAAAUAAUUGUAAAAAAGUGAAUUUCCCUUCUAUUUUAAGUAAGACUAUAUUUUGUCAUUAGAUAAU